AUUCAGCUGACGAGUCCCAAAUAGGACGAAACGCGUAUACUGGAU
rnacentral:hammerhead_ribozyme from 1 species